GGAAUGAGCUUUAUAUAUGAAAUUUACAAUUCCCAAAACAGAAACUCACAAGGUCCUCUGUCUGGUAAGAAGUGGAGCCUAUAUUCAAAUCCAGUCCUGUCCUAUACACUGCAAUUUAGCAGCUCCUCAAAACGCACAGCCUGAGAUAGUAGAAUGGAUCACACUCCACUGGAUCUGCCGUUGGUUAUUUCUUGAAAAGGCUCCUACUUUGGUGUCCUUUAAGUAUUCUUCCUUGUGCCAGAAGAGGUGCUGCAGCCAGAAUGGAGGUUCAGUCAAAAUAUCUCAACUUUAUAACUGGAGAAGCAUCAGUGAGUAUACUAUGUUUGGAAUCAGAUGACAAAAAUGAAGUACAAAGAAAUUAAAAAGCCUUCACAUAAUUUAUAUGCCGGACCUGGACAAAAUUGUAGCACUCUUAUUUCAAAACCUGAAGCCAAAUGAUAAUCAAUAAGAUUCUUGGGGAAAAUGAAAUUGGACAAACUGAGGCAAUUUCAUCCAGGAUGUUCAGAUGUGAUGAAUCAUUCCUGUCUACAACAGAAACCUUAUUCAUUUUCAUUGAGAUUCAGUGUUCAUCUUUCCAGAACUGUGCUGUUUAUUAAAUUACUAAUCUGUAAGUGCCCAUACUUUGCCCUUUCGGUUUAUCUUUUCUAAAUUUAA
rnacentral:lncRNA from 1 species